GCUUUUCAAUUAGCUUUUACAAAGUUCUAAGGAAAAAGUGAAAAGGUGGUUCCCUAGCUUGCAAUGCAGCUAUUAAGUUUCUACUCAGAUAAUGUCACCAGAAGACUGUACUUCGUUUCAUCAUGUAGACAUUUCUCUAUCAAGGAGAAAAGAGGAAAUAGAAGAGCAAAACUAUAGAAGCACAAGCUUUGUCUGCACACAGAGCCAGAUGCCUUUCCAGCACCUUCAUCUUCAGUGGUGUCCCAUACCAGCCCUGUUCUAUUGUAACAGACUUGGACUGAGUAGAACAGCAAACAGCACAGGAAAGUUGUACCACAGAAGAAGUGAGUCUCAGAAAGUCUCAAGGAGAUGGCACGGUGACAGAGCCUGGGAUCACCAUGAAAGGCACCGCUGCCUGGCAGCACCAAGUCAUACUGCUUCGCUCUUGCUUCCUCUGUAGCAAUUUUCAUCUGCAGCAAAAGAGCUGGAAAGAUGAGGGGAAGAAAAAGAAAAGAGUACUAAAAUCAGGAAGCUCUCACAUCAGCCAAGCUUUGUUUGUUCUUUCUCAUUUGCAUUCUUUCCCCCGGUGGUUCAACACUGAAAUUUAGCUCACUGUUCCCUUAGAGAUGAGGCUCCAAAAGGCUUCUCACCUGCCAGCGUCACCUUUGAGUCCCAGUCUGUACGUCUACUUAUCUGAUAUGUUUUUAAAACAUUUUUGAAGGGAUCAGCAGCCGCUCAAGCCACACCUCUUACACACACUGUAUUCUUGUCCAUUCACACUUCAACUUCAUCCCUGGGGAGAAGAAAUAUUUGUUAGCUCAAGAAAUACACAUACACGUAUAUGUAUGCAAGCAGUCAAGGGCUAAACGAAGCCUGAUCAUGGGGGAACUGGAGGGACGUAGACACACUGCUGCCUGCCCUAAAGCCUUCCUUACUUCCUUUUUUCUAUUUUUAUUCAUAAUUGUUUGUUAUUGUUCUCUAUUUGCACUGUGGCAAUAUUUAGAACUCAAAAGGAUAGGGGCAACAGCUGAGUAAGACCCUUGCAGUCAAACAACUGAAAAUAUCCCGAGGGAAUCUCCCAACCCCUUCAGCUCAACAGGUUCUGCGGAAAAGCUUUCAUUUUAGACAAAAAAAGCCCACUUUUUUGGCACAGCAAAAGCAGGAUUUUCCAGAAACAAAUGUACUGAUGACAAAACCAGUUUGUUUUCCAGAAUAUAUUAUAUUAUAUGUUAUCAUGUGUUAUUAAAGUGUAGGAUCAAAUAAAACAAACAAAAAAAAGGUUGAAAUUCCUCCACAGGGUUUCAGUUUUAGCAAAAAGAAGAGCACCAUGUUGAACAACACUCAACUAUGUACAAAAAUCCCUUUUGGGGGGGAUUUUGAAUAUUUGGCAUUUCACUGAUAAUCAGAAUAGAGUUAUGAAAGUUCAGGCUUUGGCUGUAAGGAUGUAUAAUUUCUUCAUUUCAGGAAGUGAAAUAUACUGUGUGUUCCUGAGUGUCAUUUAUGGGUCAGGAAAAGAACCUGCAAAGCUGUAAAGGAGCCAGCUACUAACCAAUGUGCUAUAUUGUGUCAUGUUUGCUGAAUGAAUAUUUUGCUCUGAUGCAUAUGUCUGAUUUGAAGAGUUCUUGGCUCUAGAGAUUUCAUAAUUACUUGGAUAUGAAGAUCCAGAUUGACAUUGCUGUGGCUCAGCCACAUUCAGGCAGAGCUUGUCACUAGCCACGGAGAAUACAGGCUGUAGAAAAAAUGCCAUUAUUCAGUAGAUAAGGACAAUGGCUCACAAUUAUUAUACUUCCUCUCAGUGUUUUAAUUUUCAUGCUGUGUUUUUGUGACAUUGAGAGUAACAGGCAGAGCAAACAAAGCCUAAGCAACAGCUCCUUGCCACUGCUCCUUAAUAAAAGGAAAUGUAUCACUCUCUACCGCCUGACCUUUGCAACGAGAUGUAAUGAAGUGACAAAAAGAGAACAGGUGACGCAGCUACCAAGUUUACACUUGAAAGAGUUUAUCACAAUGCUCAAUUGAUAUCUGAAACUUCCUCCUAAACAUGUUUCUGAGGUCAGUGAAGGAUGUUCUUGUGACUUUCAGUAGGUUCUGGUGAGGCUCUCCGAGUGCCCGCUUCAUCUAACAUUGAACGAACACAGAGAGCUGAUGAAUGCAAUAAGUACGUGAAAAGAGAGUGUGGCACCUGAAGAGAGUUUGAAAUAGAAAAGACCAAAGGUGAAAAGAUUAAAAAAAAAAAAAAAAAAAAAAAAAAGAGCAGUGUUCCAAUUCUUUGAUACGUAUCUUCUUAGAUAAAGAUUCCUGUUUAAUCCCACAAGAUACUAUUGUUUUUUAGCUGAAUUGAACCAGCAAUAUGAUCAAAAUACUUGUUAAUCCUGUGCUGUUCAUUUUCUCCACUGCUAACACCACCCAGAGUCUAGCUCUAUUUAGCAGCAGACAGAAUUAUUGAUUGCUUCUGUUUUGCAUUUAAGAAUAGCAAAACACCCAUUUGGAGUUCUUUAACAAAAUAUCCAACUAUUAAUGAGUAUAUAAAAGGUACUAAAAACGGAGAGAAAGUGAAAAAGUAGUCUAGACAUGUUAGGAAUAAAGACACUUUCUUGUCUUAAAACAGCUUUCAGCAAUAACACUUGCAGAAUAUUAAUACUUACUGUUUGCUCUUGCCCAUUUUGAUGACAAUUUUUAGUGAAUCGAGUUUAAAAUAAAAAUUUUUGCAUAACAAAAUGUUUCAUUUUACCAAAAUUUUUGUUACAAUUUGAUUUAGUGGAGGGUUAUUUGAGUUAGGGUAGUAUGGUUAGGUUGUGGUUGGGCUUGAUCUUUAAGGUCAUUUCCAACCUGAGCAAUUCUAUGAUUCCAUGAUUCUAUAAUUCUGUGAUAGCUUUAUGAAGCAUUUUUAUUCCUGUUGAACUCCUCAAAGCCUUCUGGGGAAGAAUAGGCCCUCACCUGGACCACUCAUUGCUGCAGGAAGUUCUGCUCAGGGAUGUGUCCCAGCACACCUUAAUGCACACAAAGAAGGGAGCUGGAAAGCCACUGCCUUCAUGAAAGUUGAACGUUCCUACAAUGUUAACAAUAUUCACAAAAAAAAAAAAAAAAAAAAACAGAUUAACCAACAUCAGAUGUAUAAUCAUAGAAUCAUCACAGAAUCAUAGAAUGGCUUGGGUUGAAAGGGACUCCAAGGAUCAUCAAGCUCCAACCCCCUGCCACAUGCAGGGCCACUAACCUCCACAUUUAAUACUCGAGCAGGCUGCCCAGGGCCCCAUCUAACCUGGUUUUGAACACGUCUAUAGACGGGGCAUCCACAACCUCUCUGGGCAGCAUGUUCCAGCUGUUCCAGAUGUAUAAAAUUCACUGUGUCUUGCCUAGGGGUUGUCCUUGGAAGCUAUUAAUUUGGAAGAAAAAAAUGCAUUUAGCAUUCUCUAAAGUCACUGAGUCAUUUUGGCCACCUGCGUGCUUUGUUAAAGGAAGACUGCUCCUGCCCAUUGCAACAACAGGCAGUGCAUCACCUCUACACUGCUUAGAAAAUCAGGAAAAUGAAUAAACAUUGAGGGGAAAAUGCCAUGUGGAAGUGGUUAGUUCAUAACAAUGACUUUCAAUAUUAGUUGGUUUAAUUAAUUGAAUGCUCAAUUAUGCAAACACUUUGCCUUCUGUUGUAGUAAUGAUUCAAAUAGGUGAAAAAAAUGUCCAGUUAAGCAGCAAACAGAGAAGAAAACACCUUUCAGGUUAGAAGACAGAAAAAAUCAGACAUUUGUUGAGGAAAUAGUUCCCCAAGUAACAUUCAGUUCCACAUAUUAUUAUUCACAGAAGACAGAGGGUGGCAGUUCAAAUGUACACAGUGUUUUUAAUCACUGAUUUAAAGAUGGUGCGGUCAUUAAAUCGUAAUGGACUCUGGCUGAAGGCUGUCUCUCCAUUAGAUACUAGCAAAUAAUGCCUGUGUUUAUCCGUUCCCGGUUUUAAGAGGAGAUUGUUUGUUGACUUUGAACCCUAACAUGAGGCAUUCCUUUUCAGCAUUUUAAAAUAACGCCAUCUUUAUUAUUUUAUUCUUAAUAUUUAAACAGGUUGAAUAAUUUAGCAAAGAGAAUAAUCCUCUAAUUUCACUUUAAUGAGGGCUCUGUAAAGUCAAACCCUGCAGAGGUUUCAAAACUGUGUCAUGAAAAACAUAGCCAUGAAGAACAGCGUGCGGGCACUACACACAGCAAUUGUGUGGCCACCAGGGCAGUUUGCUUGCAGCUAACCAAGUCACAGACAAAUCACAAGCAGAAUUUUAGCAAAGCAUGAUUCCAGAUUCAGUGGGACCUAUGUGAGCUUGAGCCUAAAGUGUGAAACUAUGCAGCAUCCCAAUGCCAACACCAGGAAGGUUCUCACCACCCGCUGUAUGACAGUGAGGUGGAAGCGUUCAGUCCCAGGUCACUGAAUGCAGCUUCAGCCUCUUUAAUGAGAUCUGUGCUGAGAUUUUGGGCCCUGGUGCACACAGUGUUUAACCAUCUACAUUACUGUCAUCAUGUGAAUUGAGGUCACAAAGCCCAGCUUCACAUUAGUGUUAUGAGCUUAACAAAAUACUGUGCUAAAUGAGUACCUCUAAGCUCAUAUUCCGUUAGCUAACAAAAUAACCAAACACGCUUUGAAUUUGGGACCUGAUCACACAUAACUCUCCUAAGUACAGCCCCCCCAGCAAAAAUCCCCAAAAGCCAAGCUCCAUCACUGAACCUCCUUCGAAAGACAGUGUAAUGACAUGCAUUCCAGCAUAGCUCUACAAAGCUGUUAUGCAAGAACAGUGUACCCAAAAACAGCCUCUGGUCAUAGCGGUGCUGAAAAUAUGUUGUUGUCUUUUUCAUAAGCAAAAACAAGAGGGAAAAAAAACACUUAUUUGUAAAAAUAAAUGCCCAGGUUUUCAUUUAUACAGGAAUGACUUUGUUGUGUGGUAUGCCCUUCAAUAAAAUUAUAGCUUAGGUCCACAAGUGUGUGCGUGUUUUGAGGUCUUAUACUUAACCUUAUCCUUUCUUCAUUUUAAAGGCAUCCAACAUUGUUAACGACCAGGAAUGUAAAUUACACGCAUUCGUACUCAUGCACGUUGCCUACCUAAUUUUACAACUCCUAUUAAAUGCUUUAAUUACACACAAUGGGUUAUAAAUAUUAAACCAGAAAUGUAUCUAAAUAACUUUUACAGCGACACCAGAAGCUAUGAAAAUCCUUAGAAUGUGAAAAGUCUCCACUGAAAAAUAGCUUCCAAAAUUUACAAAUGAAAAUACUGAGUAUUUAGACCCUUAGGUCUUUUUUUUUCCCCAACUUUUAAUCCACUUUACACUACAUUAACAGAAUUUUAAAAGCUCUUUGUUUCAAGGCCUGUGCUAUUGUGCUGGUGUGCUCACAUAUUAAAAACCACACUAGAAAACCAUUUCUUUUACCUAAUUAUGAAGAGAAUGAAAUUAAUAUACUGCUCAUAAUAACUCUACACUUCCCCAAAUGCACAUCUUUUCAUUAUUUGCUUGUACAUUAGUUAUUUCUAUCCCUGUGACCUUAUUCCUUAUAACUAUGUUAUAAACUUCUUCAAGAGUAUGGAAAGAAUAUUUAAUACAAAGCAAAGUAAUUAUAGUCUGAAGGUUCUGAAAUAUAACUGAAGUGUAUCCCUGGGGCUAUUUCCUGAUAAUUAGGUAUGACAUAAAUAAUCAUGAUUAAUUAUAUUUCUGGAUAGUGAUCUGCCUCCAAUGAAAUAUUGCUAUCCCUGAUAAUGCUUAACAAUAAAAAAAACCAACCCUACGUGUGUUUAAACAGAAUAUUCUCUUAAACCUCAUGUGCAACUCAGCCACAUAGGCUAUAAAUGGCUUUGAUGUUUCUCUGAUACAUUGUGCCACUGGAAUAACAAUUCUACAUUUCUGAGGGCAUUAAAUAAUACCAUUUGGCAAUAAAUCAAAAUCCAGAGUUUGACAAUUGCAGCAAUUAAUUCUAUUUGAUGAGUUUUUGUUGAAUAAGCUUUUAACAAGAUCUUGAUACUUUUUAAUGUCCCAUAUAUUAAAGCUGAGAAGAACUGUCUGUUUGUUACAUCCUUCUGGUUGUAGAUGUGUCAGCUACUGGCAGGUAUUUGAGUCAGAGCAUGAACUAUUUAAGACAAUUUUAAAUAAAAUUUUGUUGAUUAAUUUGUUGAUGGCUGUGAAUACCGUUUGUGUUUCCAGAUGGAGAACAGAACUUUCCUUCUUUGAAAGAAUGCCAAAAGCUUUCCUAUUUAUGUCCAGCAUGAUCAGGCAUUAUUAUUAAUACAUCAUGACUACCUUGAGGCUCAUCUUAAACUGUACAAGGCAGUGCCCUGCAGAAGCAGUUCAGAAAUAGAAAUGAGAAGUGAAGAGCAUGACUAGCAGUACUUUGUGCAAGGAACACACAGCCUGACCUUCAGGACUGGCUUUCCAGUGAGCCCUGACCCUACCAACAGAAGCUCAGCCAGCCUUGAACAUGCCCAGAAGCGUACCUGGGCUCACUUCUGGCAGAGCAUCAGUGGAGUCAGCUCCAUGAGCUGGCUCACAGCAUCUCUGCCUGUGACAGCAUGGGAGCAGGAGGAAGAUGGUGCUGUGCAUAGAUCCAGUGUUCCACUUUCUUGGAGAAGAGUUUUGAGAAAUGACAAUGCAUUUGCCCGCCUUGCUCCAGACUCUCCAGGUAGGAUGUGCUCACAAAAGAAUGAGUAUACCGUAGCAAGCCUAGGAAGUUAGGAAAGCAUCAACUCCAGACAUUGUUGGCCUGGAUUCUUUCUCCUGGCUGUUUUAUCCAUACCUGUUACUAUCUUCUUUGUCAAGGAAAAUGAAGGCAAUAUCACCUUCAGGCUGUAUGCAGCACAGUGGCAAUGAGAAAAUGCGAAGACAAUUGCUAACGUAAUUUGGCGAUCCCUGGAGAUCUGUGGAUUCAGCAUGCCUACUUCUGGACACACAGACCCUCAAAUCAACUCCAGAAGAGUGGGGCAUAGCUUAGAAGUACCCAGGUUCCAGCAGGAUUUUCAAUGAACCACAAGGUGGAAGCAGAAAAGCCUGAGAGGAUGGCAGCUGUCAGGACGAGAAAUGAGGCAACUGAACAGGGUGCUCAGUUGCAAAAAAGACAACAGCAGGAAAAAGGGGGCAUAUGUUUAAAAUACUGCCGUGGAGCUAAAGAUCGGAGUUGUAAGGAAAAGCAGGGAAAAUAACAAAAAGCUCAUCAACACCCACCUGCCAAGAGUGUCAAUAAAAAUGAUAGGAGCAAAGGCAAAGGAUUUUUUUUUUCUCUGCAGCAAGAAGCACAGAUGGGCAAAAGUAUAAAACAAAAGCCUGUAUGAGGUUUUCGUCUGUGCUGCAGUUCUCAAGAAUGAGUACACAAGAAAAAUGUUUACGUGAAUUACGUUAAAUGUGAGCAAACUCUGGAUUGGUAUUCAUGUAUAUUCUUAUCAUAAAGACAUCUUAAAGAUUUUUAAAUCCUGUUUGGUUGGUUCUGAUGGAGUAGUAAUGUAUAUGGUGAGUUGUAUUCGUGUAAAAUAGGAAUGGAAGUAUGAAGAAUGCUGAAGAGAUUUAUUUUAAACAUAUUUAUACUUGCCACAACUCCAUUAAAGGAGCUGGGUAAAACCAUGUCUAAGAUAUGCUUGUAGCAAGUUGGAUAAUUAAAAGGUAUUGCCAGUCACUAUCAUUUUGCUAGAAGGCAUUCACGUUUGCAAUAUACAAAUUUGUACUACUGUCACUGUUGUAAUCCCAUUUGUGCAAAUAUUCAAUAAAUAAGACACAAAGUUUCUUCCAGCAUCCAGUCAUCAUGCUGCUGCUGAACCCUAUCCAUGUUUUCAGUAACUGAGAACAUGCUAUUUUUAAAGCUGAUUGAAAAAAAAUUACAUGGCAGUUAUGACCAAGCCAUAUAAUAGUACCUGACUUCUGUAACUGCACUCUUAGAGCUUGGUUCUAUCAUUUAAGGAAGCGUCAUUCAGGGAAACAAUAUUCUGAAGAUAAUAAAAUCCCAGCAGGAUAAAGACUGUGAAUGGACCAUCUCUGCAGCCUCCAAAGUCAGGAAGAAUUGGUAAGUCUUUCCUGUCUUUGUGAAGUGCUCAGGAAAGCAGGACUCAACCCCUGGGUCAAUGCAUGAGCCUGGACUUGCAUCCUUACUGACUCAUUAGAGUCAGUAUGUGCACUGUAUAUCAUUAUAUAGAUGCUGGAGCAAACUAUUUGUUCAGUUUGUUCAGAUUUCUCAAGAGGAAUGAGCAGUUUUGAGGCUAGAAAGACAGCCAGGGGAGUGAUAGCUCAGGACUGAAGCAUGGAGUGAAUCAAACUGACACCAUAAAGCACAAAUAGGAACCCAAACUAAACAACAGAAGGAAAUAUCAAAAACUGUCUCUAUUCUGUUGUUGACAGGGUCAUUAGAAGUAGGCUAUAUCCUUUUUUUUUAGCUGUAGAUCACAUUCAACAUUCCGGUAUGUUUAAGCAUUGUAUGUUCAUUUCAGAAGAAGUGGUUCAAGUGAUCUGAAGUUGUCCCCUGAAGGCAGUUUGAGCUCUCUUUCAGUGCAGAAGUUUCCCUGAUAAUUUUCUUCCUUUUGUUUGUGAUUCUGUAGUUGUUGGCUUGGUCAGCACAUACUUGCUUCUUUCUUUGUCAUGUUGUUUUGUAAUGAACUCUUAUUUCAGCAUGAGGCCACUUCCCAUCCUGCUUUAUAACACAGGCAUGUGGUAAUUGGCUCCAGGAAGUAGACAAAACAUAUGUUUCCUUAUGGCACUAAUUAAUUAGUCAUAUGUACACUCAAUACUUAAUUGCUAUUGUACGCUCUGGCCCGUGUGACUUCUGUGAAAAUAUCGGACUGUACACUAAUUUCAAUUAGAAACUCAUGGAAAAGUGAAAAGUGCCUGUAGUUUCUAUGAGCAAGAGAAGCAAAAUUUCACUCAUCAUACUAAUAACACCCAGCACGUCAUUUCUUCUUUUUUUUUAAUCCUUUGCACUAUGCUCAAUACAUUUCUCUAAUGUAACCAAGCCUGGAAGCUUAAAGCAUCUGUGCUCUACUUAAAAAUGCUGAUAUGACAAAGAAAACCUCUUCCUCAGGACUGCUACUCCUCUUCUGCAGCAUAACAAGCGCUAGUCAACCACAAGUGCUACUAAGAAUGGCUACUUUUAGAGCUUCUUACCAAUAACAGGCAGAGGUUUUGCCCAUUAAGGGUUUAAUUUUCCAUCUUGCAACAGUGACAACCAUUUGGAGUUUUGCCCAUACACUCUGUGCUGAAUUUUUAGGUAUUUAUAACAUUUCUAUGAUACUUACUGCCAUAUUACCAAAGGCUCUCACGCUCAUUAAUCUCCAAUAUAAAUUGUUCCUUUGUUCAUUUCUUAGAUGACUUAUAUGAAGACCACAGCUUUUCAAGCAGAAAUUGAGAAUAAAUUAAAAAUUCUUAUUUUCUCAUUACUUUUCCCACUCUAAGUGUUCCUGAAAUAGCCAGUAUAAUUAGAACAAACAAAGAAAACCCACAGGGCUAAAUUUUGCCCUUAAAAAUAUAUAUGGGUAAGAGCAAAUUUGGAGAUACUGGAAAGAGUUCAGCACAGGGCUACCAAGAUGAUUAAGGGACUGAAAUAGCUCUUACAUGAAGGAGGGCUGAGAGAGUUGGGGCUCUUCAGCCUGGAGAAGAGUGGAGGAAGAUCUCAUAGGUGCAUACCUGAAGAGAGGGUGCAAAGAGGACAGGCUCUUUUCAGUGGUUCCCAGUGCAAGGACAAGAUGCAAUUGUCACAAAGUGAAGUACAAAAACUUUUCUCUGAACAUAAAAAAACAAGUGAGAGUGAAUGAGCACCAGCACAGACUGCUCAGAACAGUGGUGCAGUCUCUCUUUGGAGAUAUUCAAAAGCCCUCUGGACAUGAUCCUGGGCAAUCUGCUGCAGGUGGCCCUGCUUAAGCAAGGGGUUGGAUCAGACCUCAAGAGUUCCCUUCCAGUCUAAACCAUUCUGAGAACUUUAUGGGGCCCACAUCUAUAUCUACAAAGACAAAACACAGAUCAUUUUAUUUUAAAAUCAAGGUAAAAUAUUACAUAUCUUUCAAGUUACUGCACUAGCUGUCUCAGAUGUAUGACUGAAGACAAUUGUUAGAGCAAAGUUCUGAUAAUUUUUAAGUUAUUCAGUGCAACAGUCUUACUAACAAACUAGCAUUAAUCAAAAUCAUUGAGAUUCACUGGAUUUAUGAGUGGUAGCCUGGAUAAAGGAGCAGAAUAAUUAAUGAACACAAACUACAUCCACAUGUGAGAAUCUGAUAGACAAGAAGGAUGGAAAGAGCAAUGGUGGUCUCCAACCUCAAGUGUCCAUCUCUCUGAGGUCCCAGUCCUCCACUGCAAUGCAAACCUCAGAUUCUUAUGAAGCAGUUGCAAUCCUCAGUCUCUAACCCUGCAUACUAAACAAGCUUCUGCUCUUCUUUAUAUAUCCAAGUAUUUUUUUUAUAGCUUAGAAAGCUAAUAGUGAAGCAAAGGAGUAUCUAUGUAAUGAUGGCCAGCUGUAACGUAUGGUUGGAAAUCUACACAAUACUGGGUUAUAUAUAAGCCAAAGAAUAUAUACAGAGUAUCAUGAACUGUUUACAGCAAAAUCUGAUAUCUGGAAGACAGUAUUGCUUGAUCUGAGAAUUAGAAACUUGAAUCUAAAUUCAAGUUUAUAACUUGAAAUUUGAAUCAAAUCAGAAUUUGAUACAGUACACAAAUAUGUAGUGAUCAAAGUAAGAUUUUAUGCUAUUCUGUACCAUUGUACCACUGCAUAACAUGAAAAUUGGCAGUUCCCAGUGUUUCCUGAACCUGAAACUGCAGGCAUAACUCAGUGCUUGAGUAGCUCAAGCUAGACCUAACUCAUGACAGUCUUGUAUCUUGUCAUUUACACCUGUGCUAUGAGUAUCAAACGGAGCAUAGCAAGCUGCUAUUUUUCUCCUACUCCACACAGAGAUGUAAAUGAAUUCAGCAAAGUGAAGGCUUGUGAAGAUAGUGGUGUAAUCUCCAGAAAUAUGAGAGUCAGGAAUCUGAACUCCUGUACUGCUGCAGAAAAGAAAUUGUCUUAGAGAAGCAAAUCAGUGAGGAAGUGUAUAGAAGGGACCAUGAGAUUAGAAGCAGAAGAGUAGGACCACAAUCUAAAAACAGCUACAGCAAAAGUUCUGUAUGAGUCUGAGGACCAACAAACACGUGAGUGGAACGGUCCAUUUUCUCACCAGCAAUACAUGUCACAGACAUAGUUGUGGUAUCAUGUCUGAAAUGAACAUAGCCCAUAGCAUAUUUUCCAUAGAAAUUUGAAUGUAACAUUUCUGCUGCCUAGGAAAGAGAAAUUGAAAACACAUUUUGUAAAAGAACACUGGGAGUAUUAACACCUAAAGAAGACGCAUCCCAGAGAAAUAUGUGUAGGAAAGCUGGAUAUCUGAAGUGCUGGAAGAGACUUAGUGAUAACCAUAAGUGAUACUGAUUUAAUUAAAAGUCUUUUAUCACCUUUUUGGUAAUUCUGCCUCUUUAUUGAUCCAAGAAGUAAAACCAAAGUUAAAUUUUAGAAGGUGAUGUGUCCUUAAGAAGUGAGCUGACAAGAAUUGA
ensembl:lncRNA